rnacentral:rRNA from 1 species
CCUACGGGUGGCAGCAGUGGGGAAUAUUGGACAAUGGGGGGAACCCUGAUCCAGCGACGCAGCGUGCGUGAAGAAGUAUUUCGGUAUGGAAAGCUCUAUCAGCGGGGAAGAAAGGAGUGACGGUACCUGACUAAUAAGCCCAGGCUAACUACGUGCCAGCAGCCGCGGUAAUACGGAGGGGGCAAGCGUUAUCCGGAUUUACUGGGUGUAAAGGGAGCGUAGACGGUUACGCAAGUCUGGAGUGAAAGGCGGGGGCCCAACCCCCGGACUGCUUUGGAAACUGUAUAACUGGAGUGCAGGGGAGGUAAGUGGAAUUCCUAGUGUAGCGGUGAAAUGCGUAGAUAUUAGGAGGAACACCAGUGGCGAAGGCGGCUUACUGGACUGUAACUGACGUUGAGGCUCGAAAGCGUGGGGAGCAAACAGGAUUAGAUACCCGAGUAGUC